AUGAUCACCACCCUUAUUAUUAGCUAGAUGUUUGAUAGGUGACCACUACCUUGUUAAUGAAAGGGGGUUUUACAUAUUUCCCCCUCCUAAGCUAGCUUAUUACAUAUUUUCCCAAAAAAAAAAAACAAUUACAUAUUUACCCUUUUCUUUGAGAAAUUACUCAAUUACCCUCUACUUAUCCCCCAUAAUAUUCAAUUUUCAUAUCUGAUCGUUUCUCUUCCCAUGCCUAACCCUACAUCACAGACGCCAGCCAAAGAAAACGAUUUAGUGGAUUAGAAGGCGAUUUGAGAUAAAUCUGAUUGAUGAACCAAAUCUCGAGAUCGAAGAUGAAUAUGAAGAUGUUAGCUGUUGAGUGUUCUUCGUUCUCCUAAAGUUUCAAAAGAAGUAAACAAUAUAACCAUACUAAUCAUUUAAUCGUUCUGAUUUGUUUUACUUAUUUCAACCAAAUCAGUUUCACAGGCCAUGAAUCCUUAUUCUUAAACUCUUUUCACUUCAGUGUUGUAGUUUCCGCUCUACUUUUGUGUU